UCUACCCAAGGUGCCCUCAGCCCAGGGAACCAUGGAGUUUAAGAAUGUACUGGAGUGAUGGGGUCCCAAGCACUGACUGAUCGAGGUGUGCAGGCGCUGUUCCCGGCAUUAACUUGCUGGAUCUUCACAGGCAUUGUGUGCAGAGAGACUGUUGGUUAUGUCCAGUCUGCAGAUGAGAACACUGACACCCACGGGAUGAUAUACCCUUCUCAAGAAACCACUGCGGGGGCAUGGAGAGCUUGGACCACAGCCCCUGAAGAGGCAAAACCAUCGCCGUCUUAAAGUUGAGGAAAGUGAUGCCCGGACAGGGGGACUGGCAUGCCCAAGGCCGCACAGCUCGCAGGGAGAGGAGCCAGGACUCCAGCCCCUGCAGUCUGGCUCCAGAGCGGGGUUGCUCAGCGUCAGGCUUCACUUGGAGCAGAUCCUUGGUGAAUGCUGUGGCGUGGAUGGGACCCAAACAGGAGCGGCUGCUGUUGGAGGUCUCAGCUCAGAUGUCCCCUCCUCCAAGAAGUCUUCCCUGCCUCCUCCCAGAAGGCUGAGUCAGGUACCCCUUGGGGCUAUCCCCACCCAACUCCGGGCAUCCCGCCCUUCGGACUCCAGUGUGUUUGUGACCAGGACUCCAUAUCACGUGUCACUUCAGUUCAUUUUGUAUUUCCAGGCAGCUAAGUGGUGAACUUCUAGAGAAGAGAAUGGCAACCCACUCCAGUAUUCUUGUCUGGAAAAUCCCAUAGACUGAGGNNNNNNNNNNNNNNNNNNNNNNNNNNNNNNNNNNNNNNNNNNNNNNNNNNNNNNNNNNNNNNNNNNNNNNNNNNNNNNNNNNNNNNNNNNNNNNNNNNNACCCACUCCAGUAUUCUUGUCUGGAAAAUCCCAUAGACUGAGGAGCCUGGCGGGCUACAGGUCGGGGGGGUCAAGUCGGAUGCGACUGAGCGCAUGACUGAGCGCAUGGUGAACCUGGCGCUGUUUUAUUAAGCUCUGGAUAACCAGGAGCCAUCAUUAUUGACUUUAUUGCUGUAGCUGUUGACCAUUAUAAUCUCAGUUCCUGGUCCCUUUAACGCUGACAUUCUUAAAUUGCCCCUCCCUGGCACUGCUUCUCCCUGGCACCGCUUCUCCCUGGCAGCGCCCACACCCCCAUCCUAGUGGGCCUUGAAUGGGAAGAGGCGUAAUUUUCAAGGGGAUCCGGGGCCAGAGGGCGGGGCUUCUUCCUCCUUCCGCGCCUUGGGGGAAACCCCAGGGUUCCGGGGACAUCGGGACUUUGGUUCUCCCCGUGCUGGGAGGAGGAGGAAAGUAAAGCCUGGGAUAGAGGGCUGAGAAAGGUGCAGCCAAAGUUCCUCCCCUGCCACCCUCGCUGUCUGUCCCGGGAGCCACUGUCACCGAAGUGCCUGUGAGUCGGCAGCUGGGCAGAGGGGAAGAGAAGAGAGCUGGAGAGGCUGCGGACGGAGUGAGGACCGGGUCAUCGUGCGGAAGCCGGGGAGAUAGCUCGGCGCUCUCGAGUCGGGUGUCAGGACCCAUGGAGUGCGCUGACCCACGGGGCCACCGCUGGGCAGGAAUCCUGCUCUCAGGUGAGUGUCCGGCUCCCUUCAGGUGGGGAGGGGAGGGUGGGUGUGUACAUGUGCACGAAAGAAACCCAAAUAGAGACAAGAGAGAAACGGAGAUAGAGGCAGGAUUAAACACAAAUACAAGAGGUUGACAGAGACCUCCCCAGCAGUCUAGUCCACGCUCCCAGCUCCCAACGCAGGGGGUCCAGGCUCAAUCCUUGGUCAGAAAACUAGAUCCCACAUGCCUCAACUAAGACCCAGUGCAGCCAAAUAAAAUAAGAGAGACUGACAAAGGGGGGACAGAGAAAGAGACAAAGACAUACAUAGAGGAGCAGAGAGAGAUGGAAUCAGAGCCAUAGAACCAGAGAGAGGCAAGAGGCAGUGAAAAUUACAGUAGAAACUGUACCAGAGGGAAACACAGAGCAGACGGGGAGACUGAGGACAAAGAGCCAAAAAACUCCUCAGGGCUUCUCUGGUGGCUCAGUGGUCAAGAACCGCCUGCCAAUGCAGGAGACGCAGGUUCGAUCCCUGACCUGGGAAGAUCCCACAUGCUGCGGAGCAACUAAUGCGGUGUGCUGCAACUGCUGAAGCCCGUAUGCCCUAGAGCCCGUGCUCCACAGCAAGAGAGGCCACCACGCUGAGACGCCCGAGCACCGCAGCUAGACAGGAGCCCUGGCAGCAACGAAGACGCAGCACAGCCGUAAAUGCACGCAUGUUCAAAGUCAAUUGCAUUUAAAAAGAAAGCUUUUCAAGAUACAUACAGGUAAAUAGAUUCAGGGGAGUCGGGGCGGGGAGAGACAGAGAACCAGAGCUGGAGUCUAACAGACAGGAGUGAGACUGGCAACGAGAGGUUAUGCCAGCCCUGAAGGGCACGCCAGGCUGCUCUGUCCCUCCCUGUCACCUGGAGUUUGCCCACAUUCAUGUCCAUUGAGUUGGUGAUGCUGUCUAACCAUCUCAUCCUCUGCCNNNNNNNNNNNNNNNNNNNNNNNNCUUUCCCAGCAUCAGGGUCUUUUCCGAUGAGCUGGCUCUUCCCAUCAGGUAGCCAGAGUAUUGGAACUUCAGCUUCAGCGUCAGUCCUUCCAAUGCAUGAGCCUAUGGACUUGACCUCCAAUAGCUGAGGAUAGAGAACUUCAGAUGCUUUUCCAUUGUCAGUUAUUACAAGCACAGGAAGUAACAAUGACAAUAAUAGUAAUAAUAACUAAGUGCUAAUAAUAGUGACUAACACUGUGAACUGUCACGUCUGAUAUCAGACCUCACAAUAACCUGGUGCGCUAAGUUCUACCGUUCCCCCCGUUUUGCAGUUGAAGAAUCUGAGGCUCACAAAGAGAAAGCCCUUUGCCCAUGAUAAUAGACAAAGUCCACUAUCAUUAUCAGAGUCCAUAUUUGCUCCUAAGAGCCCUUGUCUUUAACCCAAAUGAGCAGGGGAUGGGGCAAUGCUCGAUCUAAACUGGGGUCAUCUGAGGGCUGGAGAAAGGCAUGGCUGCCUGCCUUUGUUAAUUGGGCUGAUGGUUAGGGCAAGGACAAGAGUUUCAAGGUCAGCGGCACAUGGCCAUAGCUGCUGGGGUUGGGCAUCCUCACCUAUGCCCACAGUCUCUGAACGUCCAUAAAACUGUGUGCAGAAUGGCCAAAUGGAAAACCUAAAGCGUACGCUAUCUAUUUCCCUUUUCUCCCCUCUCUGCCUGAGGGCAAGUGGUUAAUUUCUCCCAUCAAAGAUAACAGAAGAAGUUCCCCUUUAUUGGGGGCUGGCUCUGUGCCCAUCCCUGGACCAGAGGAACUGCACAGUGUUGAGAGCAAAGUCUUUAGGAACUGGCAAGCCAGGUUCAAGUCUAGCUUCUGAUGCUUACUAUCUGGUCUUGAAAAGUGACUUCAGUGAUCUGAGCGUAUGUUUACCUCUCAGUGGAAGGGAGAGGCAUCUUCCAUGGAACGAGCAUCACUGGAGAGAGCACACUGACCCUCAGGGGACCCAGUUAAAAUUGGUCAGUGUUCAUUACCACUCACUCCAAUCCUAAGAGGCAGACGAUAUUAUUCCCAUUUUAGAGCUGGGAAAACUGAGGCUCGGCGACAAUAAUACAUGCCUCAAGUCACAUAGCCAGGAAGUAGUGAGUAAAAGUUAAGCCUCU
ensembl:lncRNA